AGGGUGGUUGGGGUGGGGUGGUUGGGUGGGGGGGUGGACCUCACUGGGAUUUCAGUAUGAGUCAGAAUGGGAGAAGGGGAGGUGGGAAGGCAAGGUAGGCGUGUGGUGAGGAGAGAAGCGUAUAGGAGGGAUGAGUUUUUCCCUUUUCUCUUAUCUGACUGCAUUGGAAUACAGAUGAGCAGAUAGAAAAGGAGCCAAGAAGCAGGCAUGACGGACAGAAACGGCGUUUCAACAGGAACGACUCUGCAUCCUGAUUCACAUUCAGACUAUUUGAUCACAGUCCUUUUGGCUCCGUUCACCACUGCAGUAGAAAUGAAAAGCAACCAUGAAGAUGAGGUGAAAACUGUCAAUUUCAAUCACAACCGCUUCUAUACAAGCACUCAAUUACAGCGUCUCAAAGCGUCCUGUACUUCACGACCCGUUCCCGUUCCUUCACGUGCUACGGUUGCUGAUCUGUGUCUCACCUGUUUACAGAACGAAGGCAUCACCAGAGAACAAGCACUGCGUUUGGUCACUGGUCUGAUUGGUGAUUCCACACCUGAAGCGUGACCAAAGACUUUGUCUGAAAACCUCUGAGCUCCUCAGUUUGUGACUCUUGGUUCUGAACCAACACAAUCCAUCGAUCGACAGUCUGAAUGCACAUAUAACCUGGUUGUUGCAAUUCAGAUCCAUUGUGGUUUAGAGAACAAAGAUCAUAAAGAAUCUGCCUAUGUUCAAAUUUAACAAGAGCACAUGCUGUUUAUGUGUAUGUUUGGCAUCACUGUUCUACACAAGGCCCUGUUGCAUUCACACCCAUUUGCUUCUACAGCACCACACAUCAGCACGCUAAUAUUCCUACAUGAUAUGAAGAAUAAAAUCAUAAAUAAAUGUGAUUGGGAGCGAUUAAACUGUCGACACUCCACGAA